UACGUAGGGGGCAAGCGUUGUCCGGAUUUAUUGGGCGUAAAGAGCGUGUAGGCGGCCUGACAAGUCUGCUGUGAAAACUCGAAGCUCAACCUCGAGAUGUCGGCGGAAACUGUCUGGCUAGAGUCCGGAAGAGGAGAGUGGAAUUCCUGGUGUAGCGGUGAAAUGCGCAGAUAUCAGGAAGAACACCUAUGGCGAAGGCAGCUCUCUGGGACGGUACUGACGCUGAAACGCGAAAGCGUGGGGAGCGAACAGG
rnacentral:rRNA from 1 species